UCAUGAGAUUCACACUGGGGGAGCGGAGCGAGUGCGAGCACAUCUUGCUGGAGUUUGGGCAAGAGGUUGCUUAGAAGCUGGAGAGUGAAGGUUUGAGGAUGCUGGAGAUUGAUAUAGACAAGCUGGAGUUGGAGCCUCAUUGGAAGAGGAUUUUGGAUCUGCAAGAAGCUUUUGAGGAACUAAAUUAGGCUGCUGAGGAGUUUAGCUUCGAUGAAGGAAUGGAAGAUGAUUCGAAUCAAAAGACAACUAAAAUAGCUUCUUUUUUCA